rnacentral:rRNA from 1 species
UACGAAGGGGGCUAGCGUUGUUCGGAAUCACUGGGCGUAAAGCGCACGUAGGCGGAUUGUUAAGUCGGGGGUGAAGUCCUGAGGCUCAACCUCAGAACUGCCUUCGAUACUGGCAAUCUCGAGUCCGGAAGAGGUUGGUGGAACAGCUAGUGUAGAGGUGAAAUUCGUAGAUAUUAGCUAGAACACCAGUGGCGAAGGCGGCCAACUGGUCCGGUACUGACGCUGAGGUGCGAAAGCGUGGGGAGCAAACAGG